rnacentral:rRNA from 1 species
GAUUAACGCUGGCGGCGUGCCUAAUACAUGCAAGUCGAACGGAAGUACCUUCGGGUACUUUAGUGGCGAACGGGUGAGUAAUACAUAGGUAACCUACCCUUAAGACGAGGAUAGCCAUUGGAAACGAUGGAUAAAACUGGAUAGGAUAUAGAGGAAGAAUCUUUUAUAUUUAAAAGAGAGAUCUGCUUAAGGAGGGGCCUGUGGCGCAUUAGCUAGUUGGUGGGGUAAGGGCCUACCAAGGCGAUGAUGCGUAGCCGGACUGAGAGGUUGAACGGCCACAAUGGAACUGAGAACGGUCCAUACUCCUACGGGAGGCAGCAGUAGGGAAUUUUCGGCAAUGGGGGGAACCCUGACCGAGCAACGCCGCGUGAACGAAGAAGUUAUUCGUAAUGUAAAGUUCUUUUAUCAGGGAAGAAAGAGGAAUUUGACGGUACCUGAGGAAUAAGCUCCGGCUAACUACGUGCCAGCAGCCGCGGUAAUACGUAGGGAGCGAGCGUUAUCCGGAAUUAUUGGGCGUAAAGGGUGCGUAGAUGGCAUAGUAAGUCUUUUGUAAAAAUGCUGGGCUCAACCCAGUAGGGCAAAAGAUACUGCAAAGCUAGAGUAUGACAGAGGCAAGUGGAACUACAUGUGUAGCGGUAAAAUGCGUAAAUAUAUGUAAGAACACCAGUGGCGAAGGCGGCUUGCUGGGUCGAUACUGACAUUGAGGCACGAAAGCGUGGGGAGCAAACAGGAUUAGAUACCCUGGUAGUCCACGCCCUAAACGAUGAGUACUAAGUGUUGGUGAGAAUCAGUGCUGAAGUUAACGCAUUAAGUACUCCGCCUGAGUAGUACGUACGCAAGUAUGAAACUUAAAGGAAUUGACGGGAGCCCGCACAAGCGGUGGAGCAUGUUGUUUAAUUCGACGAUACGCGAAGAACCUUACCAGGUCUUGACAUAGCACGCGAAGGCGUAGAGAUACGUUGGAGGAUAGCGUGCAUACAGGUGGUGCAUGGUUGUCGUCAGCUCGUGUCGUGAGAUGUUGGGUUAAGUCCCGCAACGAGCGCAACCCUUAUUUCUAGUUACCAGCAGUAAGAUGGGGACUCUAGAGAGACUGCCAUUGAUAAAAUGGAGGAAGGUGGGGAUGACGUCAAAUCAUCAUGCCCUAUAUGACCUGGGCUACAAACGUGCUACAAUGGCUGAAACAAAGAGAAGCGAGCCCGCGAGGGGGAGCGAACCUCAAAAAAGCAGUCUCAGUUCGGAUUGAAGUCUGCAACUCGACUUCAUGAAGAUGGAAUCGCUAGUAAUCGCGAAUCAGAAUGUCGCGGUGAAUACGUUCUCGGGCUUUGUACACACCGCCCGUCAAACCAUGAGAGUUUGUAAUACCCGAAGCCGGUGGCCUAACGAAAGAGGGAGCCGUCUAAGGUAGGACAGAUGAUUGGGGUUAAGUCGUAACAAGGUAUCCCUACGAGAACGUGGGGAUGGAUCACCUCCUUUCUAAGGAGAAAAACGAAAAAAAAGAGAAGACGAAGUUUUUUAGAAGAAGUCAUAUAUAGUUUUGAGAGACUAGAAAGAAAAGUAUAGUUUCUCAAAAGAGAGAUAACAAGAAAAGUGUGGAGGCUUUAAGAGGGGCCUAUAGCUCAGCUGGUUAGAGCGCACGCCUGAUAAGCGUGAGGUCGAUGGUUCAAGUCCAUUUAGGCCCACCAAAGGGGAUAAGGGGCUAUAGCUCAGCUGGGAGAGCGCCUGUUUUGCAAGCAGGAGGUCAGCGGUUCGAUCCCGCUUAGCUCCACCAAAAGAAAAGAGAUCUUUGAAAAGUAGAUAAAAAAGCGUAAUAAAAUGAAAAAAAAGAAGUCGAAAAAAAGGUUAAGGAAAAAAGGGCGCACAGUGGAUGCCUAGGCACUAGAAGGCGAAGAAGGACGCGACGAACGGCGAAACGCUGCGGGAAGUUGUAAGUAAACAGAACCGCAGGAAUCCGAAUGGGCAAACCCACAUACUAGGAGAGUAUGUAUCCAGCAAUGGAGGCGAGACCACCCGAAUUGAAAUAUCUUAGUAGGGUGAGGAAAAGAAAGCAAAAGCGAUUCCGAGAGUAGUGACGAGCGAAAUUGGAGGAACCACUAUACCAACAAAUUUCGUAUGAUAGAUGAAUGUUUUUGGGAAAGACAAGCGAAGAAGGUGAAACUCCUGUAAUCGAAAUCAUAGGGAGUGGGGUAUAGAAGAAGUACGGCGGGACACGAGAAAUCCUGUUGGAACGAAUAAUGAGGACCACCUCAGAAGGUUAAAUACUAGCUAGUGACCGAUAGAGAACC